AUACUUACCUGGCAGGGGAGAUACCAUGAUCACGAAGGUGGUUUUCCCAGGGCAAGGCUUAUCCAUUGCACUCUGGAUGUGCUGACCCCUGUGAUUUCCCCAAAUGUGGGAAACUCUACUGAAUAAUUUGUAGUAGUGGGGGACUGCAAUUGUGCUUUCCCCUG
ensembl:snRNA U1 U1 spliceosomal RNA